UUAGUUGGUGGGGUAAUGGCCUACCAAGACGACGAUCAGUAGCCGGACUGAGAGGUUUGAACGGCCACAUUGGGACUGAGAUACGGCCCAGACUCCUACGGGAGGCAGCAGUCGGGAAUAUUGCGCAAUGGAGGAAACUCUGACGCAGUGACGCCGCGUGCAGGAAGAAGGUUUUCGGAUUGUAAACUGCUUUAGACAGGGAAGAGAAAGGACAGUACCUGUAGAAUAAGCUCCGGCUAACUACGUGCCAGCAGCCGCGGUAAUACGUAGGGAGCGAGCGUUAUCCGGAUUUAUUGGGUGUAAAGGGUGCGUAGACGGGAAUACAAGUUAGUUGUGAAAUACCUCGGCUUAACUGAGGAACUGCAACUAAAACUAUAUUUCUUGAGUGCAGGAGAGGUAAGUGGAAUUCCUAGUGUAGCGGUGAAAUGCGUAGAUAUUAGGAGGAACACCAGUGGCGAAGGCGACUUACUGGACUGAAACUGACGUUGAGGCACGAAAGUGUGGGGAGCAAACAGGAUUAGAUACCCUGGUAGUCCACACCGUAAACAAUGGAUACUUGGGUGUAGGGGAAUAUUAAGUUUUUUGUGCCGUCGCAAACGCAGUAAGUAUCCCACUUGGGGAGUACGGCCGCAAGGUUGAAACUCAAAGGAAUGAACGGGGGCCCGCACAAGCAGUGGAGUAUGUGGUUUAAUUCGAAGCAACGCGAAGAACCUUACCAGGGCUUGACAUAUAGAUGAAUAUAUAAGAGAUUAUAUAGCUUUUCGGAGCAUCUAUACAGGUGGUGCAUGGUUGUCGUCAGCUCGUGUCGUGAGAUGUUGGGUUAAGUCCCGCAACGAGCGCAACCCCUGUUUCUAGUUGCCAGCAUGUAAAGAUGGGAACUCUAGAAAGACUGCCGUAGAUAAUACGGAGGAAGGUGGGGAUGACGUCAAAUCAUCAUGCCCUUUAUGUCCUGGGCUACACACGUACUACAAUGGCUGUAACAGAGGGAAGCGAACCAGUGAUGGUAAGCGAAACCCGAAAAGCAGUCACAGUUCGGAUUGAAGGCUGAAACUCGCCUUCAUGAAGCCGGAAUUGCUAGUAAUGGCAGGUCAGCAUACUGCCGUGAAUACGUUCCCGGGCCUUGU
rnacentral:rRNA from 1 species